rnacentral:lncRNA from 1 species
UUAGCAGAAGCUCUUUAACCACUACAUUGUGAUCAUACAGCUCGCUAGAAUUGACAUGACUAUUUCACAAAAUUUAAACAUAAUCUCUUAUACUUAUUCGUCUCAUUAUUACAAAUUGAGUUGCACUAACAACUUGGAAUAAUAAAUUUGGUAAACCACUAUUGAUUCAUAUCUUGCACUAUCUGAGUAUCUGUUCCUUUAUUAAGGAUGACAAAGGAAAAAGACAAAAGUAAGAAAAGAGCAUUGUGCGAUAUGUAUUUCAGCAUUUAAGUAGAACUAGAAAUGUUUACCCAUAUAAUCCAAUUGAUGAAUUCAGAGACUUUCUUGAUCCAAGAACACAACAUAAAGAAGCUUGAAGUUCCCAAAGACGACACCUGCAAACAUCUAUAAAUAACAAUCACACACCAAUUUCAUCAAAAUUGGGUAAAAAUUUAUAAUUAUCUCCAUUAUUUAAAAGAUGAAAGGAAAAGAAAUUAAAGCUACAACUAAUGAAGUACAAAACUUUUCAAAAUCCCACAAUAAUGAAGUGAUGUUGGUAUUUGAUUCCUUGUGCUAUGUGCUAAAAACAC